rnacentral:misc_RNA from 1 species
GUUGCUUCCAGGUAGUGCGUCCACAACUGCGUCCCCUCUUGUGUGUUGCUUCCAGUGACGAUGGACGAGGACCGGCAGAAGGUGUUGGUGACGUGGGUCGGCCGGACGAUGGGCGUCAAGCAGGUGCAGAAGGCCCUGACGGAGCUCCUCAUAGCCACUCGGACCAUCCUGCCCUCUGGGGGUACCCUGUACACCAUCUGUGAGAACUUCGACACCUUCCAGAAGGGAGGGCUGUACCCAGUACUGCACCUCAACGAGGAGUCUGGCACCAUUAACAAGUUUCUAAACAGCCAAUCAUACCUCGAUCCUCUGGCACUUGGCUCUGAUAACAUGGUCGACCAGGGGAUGUUCGAGGAGGUGGCGUGUGUGUGCCCGCCGGUAGAGGGCCUCGCCUCCACGGACUCCGUCCUCGCCAUCUCCGCCUUUAAGAGCAUCGAACCCUCACCCAACGCCAAGCUCAUCAAGGAGUGGAAGCAGUGGACUGGCGCACGAGCUUUCCUUCAGGACAUUGUGCUGGCGGGUCUUCAGUGCCUUAAAAUAAGGUUCCUGGUGAAGGUGGCGCCUUUUGAGGACCCGGGAGGCUUCUACUACAUCCUUCUGACGGAGGUAGCCAUACAGGAGCCGAGUGAGGAGAAUAUCAUCGUGGACAUCCUUCAGAGGUUCCGUGUGGAACGCUGGUCGGGGUACAACACUAUUUACCGCGUGGUCCAGUGAGGGGGCCCAAGAAUUACGGGCUCACCAUAGCCCGUGCUACAUGGACAUUUCGUUCAGAGUAGCUAAAUCUAAAACAACAAUGAAUGGCCCAGUGGCAUACGGGUCCUCCUCUUUACCAGCUUCAUUCCCCUCUCCACUCCCUCAAUCCUUCUCAAUCCCAUCCAUCAACUCCCCUUUUAUACUUUAUCUAUGUGUACUAUUUAUUCCUAUAUGGUCACAAAUCUUUUAUGAAAAUUCUACACGUUGUUAUAUCACAUAUAUAUACAAUUGAUUGCAGUUUUUUUUAAGUUUUUCAAGAGUUUGAUGUAGGAUUUUUUUAUAUGUCAGUGUAACAUGUGAUGUAUCCAUUGAGAAAAUACUGGGGCUGUGUGGUGGGCUCGAACCCGCGUUCCUGGAUUCCUCUGCUUUAAUAGUUUCUCAUAGAUAUGAUUGUAUUUCCUCUGCAUAAGUAUUAAAUAUGAUUUGUAUAAUUUGUUAUCAGCCAAAAUAACAUAGUUCAUUUAUUUUUGUUGAGAAUAACCACAGCAUGUAUUGAUCCUUGGAGUUCAUAGAAAACGCGAAACUUGCCCCUUGUAUUAUAUAUAAAAUUGGUAAAAAUUCAACUCGAUAACAAUGUUAAAGGCCGCUAUAUCAAAAGAAGUGACCCAGACGGGGACAAGAAGCCGUAGGCUGGUCAAUGGUCCACACAACUCCCCUUUUCAAAUAUUUUUGAAAUUUUGGACAAGGAUUUUGUCCAGUUCAAUUACAAUAUAGAGGACUGCCUUAGCAUUUACGACAUGGCCAGUUGUAUGAUUCCAAGAGUUUACUGCACCUUGUAAAAGCUUCACAUGUUGGGUGUUCUCCGCGCCUCUCUCUCACCCACUCUCUCAUAGACCUUCAUAUUUGACACUAACUCCAGUCUGGACCAAUGGGCUGCUUAUGAAGAUUUUACCUGGAAGAUGUUUUCACGCAAAAUAUUGACUUAUAGUGAAAUAUUAUUAUGAGUUGGGGGAGAUGUUUAUACACAGUUUGUAAAACUUUUAAGGCGGUUAUCAUCGGCAAAGUGUAACGACGCCUGCGGCCGCACGAUAUCCAAAUAGCACAUAUGAUAUCGUCAACGUUCAAUAAUUUUUGUGCAUUGCUAAGAAAAUCAACAGCUUUAUGUCUGUUUCGUCGCCUUUCCUUUGUUUAUAUCGUAUCCCCAGAGGUUACAAACCAAAUACGACAAUAUAUAUAUGAAUCUUUUUUUCUCUUUUCAGUCGUGUCAUAAGGGAAACCUCAUCUUUUCUAAAUAAUAUAACACAAUUUUGGCCCACUUGAUACAUUUUUACGCUCCAGUUUUAUAGUAAACUGAGUUUGGCGCGCAUGCCAAGUGCUUCAUCUGAACGCCGUCAGAGGCGCUGCUGAACGUCAGGUGUUGCCAUCAAUGUAAACAAAGAGAUUGGCUAUUCGGACCUCAAGGCGUUCAUGAAGCACGCAUGUUUGGGUCAUCAGAAAGGCGCGUUUGGGCUGGUUUCUGCCUCAAAGGUGAGUUUCAUGCCACUUAAAUUGUCUAGUAAAUUUAGUAGGAUCCACGAGGAUCAAUUGGGAUCCAGUAUCCCUCCACUGGGAUAUGUAUAGUGUACCCUGCUAGGAUACAAUAUCCUUUAAUGGAAUAUCCCAUCGUAACUGUUGAUGUAAUAUCCUAUUAUCCACACACACACACCAAUCACAGAUAGGAGGAAUGACAUAAGCUCUCCCAUAUAACUUUAUUGAACAAUAUAUAUCUCUAAAUAACAUAUAAACAUUUGAACGUUUUUAACAAUAAUAUAUUUCACAUAUCAACUACCCAUCCCAGCCUCUACAGCCACGGAGGAACGUACAAAAUACGAACGGUUGUGGUCAGAAACAAACAGUCCACGUUUCGUACUGUUGACAUUCUACAUGGUCAAAUAUAAUGUGGGUCAGAGUAAUCAAGAAUCUCACCUAUCUU